AGCUAGUUGGUAGGGUAAAAGCUCACCAAGGCGAUGACGGGUAGCUGGUCUGAGAGGACGACCAGCCACACUGGAACUGAGACACGGUCCAGACACCUACGGGUGGCAGCAGUCGAGAAUUUUUCUCAAUGGGCGCAAGCCUGAAGGAGCGACGCCGCGUGGAGGAUGAAGGUCUUCGGAUCGUAAACUCCUGUCAUUUGGGAACAAACCUUCCAGUUAACUGCUGGAAGACUGAUAGUACCAGAAGAGGAAGGGACGGCUAACUCUGUGCCAGCAGCCGCGGUAAUACAGAGGUCUCAACCGUUGUUCGGAUUCAUUGGGCGUAAAGGGUGCGUAGGCGGUCGCGCAAGUCGGAUGUGAAAUCUCGGGGCUCAACCCUGAAACUGCAUUCGAUACUGCGUGGCUAGAGUGCUGGAGGGGAGACUGGAAUUUACGGUGUAGCAGUGAAAUGCGUAGAUAUCGUAAGGAAGACCAGUGGCGAAGGCGAGUCUCUGGACAGCAACUGACGCUGAGGCACGAAGGGCAGGGGAGCAAACG
rnacentral:rRNA from 1 species